rnacentral:rRNA from 1 species
GGGGGGGGCAAGCGUUGUUCGGAAUUACUGGGCGUAAAGGGCGCGCAGGCGGCCUGGCAAGUCCUACGUGAAAUCCCACAGCUCAACUGUGGAACUGCGUGGGAUACUGCCAGGCUUGAGUCCGGGAGAGGAGAGUGGAAUUCCCAGUGUAGCGGUGAAAUGCGUAGAUAUUGGGAGGAACACCGGUGGCGAAGGCGGCUCUCUGGACCGGUACUGACGCUGAGGCGCGAAAGCUAGGGGAGCAAACGGGGGAUUAGAUACCCCGGUAGUCCUAGCCGUAAACUUUGAGCACUUUGUGUGGCGGGUAUCGACCCCUGCCGUGCAGAAGCUAACGCAUUAAGUGCUCCGCCUGGGGAGUACGGUCGCAAGGCUG